rnacentral:rRNA from 1 species
UACGGAGGGGGCUAGCGUUGUUCGGAAUUACUGGGCGUAAAGCGCGCGUAGGCGGACCUGCAAGUCGGGGGUGAAAGCCCGAGGCUCAACCUCGGAACUGCCUUCGAUACUGCGGGUCUCGAGUCCGGGAGAGGUGAGUGGAAUUCCUAGUGUAGAGGUGAAAUUCGUAGAUAUUAGGAAGAACACCAGUGGCGGAAGGCGG